rnacentral:rRNA from 1 species
GAGUUUGAUCAUGGCUCAGGAUGAACGCUAGCGGCAGGCCUAACACAUGCAAGUCGAGGGGUAACAUAGAGUGCUUGCACUCUGAUGACGACCGGCGCACGGGUGAGUAACGCGUAUACAAUCUGCCUCAUACUAGGGGAUAGCCCAGAGAAAUUUGGAUUAAUACCCUAUAGUAUCUUUUAGAGUCAUCUCUUUAAGAUUAAAGGUUACGGUAUGAGAUGAGUAUGCGUUCUAUUAGUUAGUAGGUGAGGUAACGGCUCACCUAGACCACGAUAGAUAGGGGCCCUGAGAGGGGGAUCCCCCACACUGGUACUGAGACACGGACCAGACUCCUACGGGAGGCAGCAGUGAGGAAUAUUAGACAAUGGGCGAAAGCCUGAUCUAGCCAUGCCGCGUGCAGGAUGACGGCCCUAUGGGUUGUAAACUGCUUUUAUACAGGAAGAAAAAACUCUACGUGUAGAGUCUUGACGGUACUGUAGGAAUAAGGAUCGGCUAACUCCGUGCCAGCAGCCGCGGUAAUACGGAGGAUCCAAGCGUUAUCCGGAAUUAUUGGGUUUAAAGGGUCCGUAGGUGGACAAUUAAGUCAGAGGUGAAAUCCUGCAGCUCAACUGUAGAAUUGCCUUUGAAACUGGUUGUCUUGAGUCAUUAUGAAGUGGUUAGAAUGUGUAGUGUAGCGGUGAAAUGCAUAGAUAUUACACAGAAUACCAAUUGCGAAGGCAGAUCACUAAUAACGUACUGACACUGAUGGACGAAAGCGUGGGUAGCGAACAGGAUUAGAUACCCUGGUAGUCCACGCCGUAAACGAUGGUCACUAGCUGUUCGGACUUCGGUCUGAGUGGCUAAGCGAAAGUGAUAAGUGACCCACCUGGGGAGUACGUUCGCAAGAAUGAAACUCAAAGGAAUUGACGGGGGCCCGCACAAGCGGUGGAGCAUGUGGUUUAAUUCGAUGAUACGCGAGGAACCUUACCAGGGCUUAAAUGUAGAGUGACAGGUCUAGAGAUAGAUUUUUCUUCGGACACUUUACAAGGUGCUGCAUGGUUGUCGUCAGCUCGUGCCGUGAGGUGUCAGGUUAAGUCCUAUAACGAGCGCAACCCCUGUUGUUAGUUGCCAGCGAGUAAUGUCGGGAACUCUAGCAAGACUACUAGUGCAAACUGAGAGGAAGGUGGGGAUGACGUCAAAUCAUCACGGCCCUUAUGUCUUGGGCUACACACGUGCUACAAUGGUUACUACAAUGUGAUGCCAUCUGGUGACAGAGAGCUAAUCAAUAAAGGUAAUCUCAGUUCGGAUUGGAGUCUGCAACUCGACUCUAUGAAGUUGGAUUCGCUAGUAAUCGUAUAUCAGCCAUGAUACGGUGAAUACGUUCCCGGGCCUUGUACACACCGCCCGUCAAGCCAUGGAAGUUUGGGGUACCUGAAGUCAGUAACCGCAAGGAACUGCCUAGGGUAAAACGAAUAACUAGGGCUAAGUCGUAACAAGGUAACC